UAUCAAAACAANCAUACCUCUGUCUCUAUCAAAAAAAUCAAUAUAUAUCAAUAUCACUUUCUUCUCUACUUUCUAUCUGCCUCUCUCCUUUCUGUCUCUGUCUCUCUAUCUGUCCCUCCUUCUCACUCUAUCUCUCUCCUGUCUUUUUCUAUUCUCUUUCUCCUCUUUUCCCUUUUCCUCUUCUUUCUCUAUCUUUCUCCUUUCUGCCUCUCUGUUUCUCUUUUCUCUCUCCUUUCUCUCUGUCUCUCUCCUUUCUGUCUCUCUGCCUCUGUCUCUCUGUUUCUCUUUUCUCUCUCUCCCUCCCUCCUUCUCUUUGUCUCUCUCUCCUGUCUUUUUCCAUUCUCUUUCUCCCCCUUUCCCUUUUCCCUCUCCUUUCUCUCUCUCUCUCUCUCUCCUUUCUGUCUCUCUGUUUCCUCUCUCUUUUCUCUCUCUUUCCCUCCUUCUCUUUGUCUCUCUCCUUUCUCCCCUUCUCCCUUUCUCAUCUCCUUUUCUCUCUCUCUGUCUCUGUCUUUCUCUCUGUGUAUCCAUCUCUGUCUCUCUCUUUUCUCUCUGUCUUUGUAUCUCUCUGUUGGUCUAUCUCUGUCUCUGUUGGUCUGUCUCUGUCUGUCCUUCCCUCCCCUUCCCCCCACAUUGCCACAUUCCACAAUGGGCUUUAAUUGAGAAUUUGUCCCCUAACCAGUAGCCUGGGCUGAUAGAGGAGCUGCAGAAAUUGGAUGGCAGAGGAGGAGAGGCAGAGCCUGGAGCUGCCCAAGUUGGGGCCAUUAGUUGGGGCGUCUUCCUUGGGGACAAAGUGCACAGCUGGGUCACGGGAGCAGGGAACCCCUUCUUAUCCUAUUUUGCUCCCUCGGGCUGGCUGGCCACUGCAGCCUCUUAGUAAAAGAGACACCAGAGAGAGCCAUUAGACCUCCCCUGGCCAACCCGGAAGGCCACAUCUCUUGGUCCUUGUCUUGGGUUCCUGCAGAACUCCUGUCAGAGGCAGCCCCAGGCACCAUCGCCCAUCC
rnacentral:lncRNA from 1 species